rnacentral:rRNA from 1 species
GCUCCAAUAGCGUAUAUUAAAGUUGUUGCAGUUAAAAAGCUCGUAGUUGGAUUUGUGUAUUUUGAUUGUGGUCUGAAAAUUUCAGCACUGCGUUUCAAAGUACAUUAUUUGUAGCUCGGCGAUCUGGCAUUAAGUUGUUGGGUCGUGCAGACUACAUCGUUUACUGUGAAAAAAUUAGAGUGUUUAAAGCAGGCGUUUGU